rnacentral:rRNA from 1 species
GACGAACGCUGGCGGCGUGCUUAACACAUGCAAGUCGAACGGAAAGGCCCUGCUUUUGUGGGGUGCUCGAGUGGCGAACGGGUGAGUAACACGUGAGUAACCUGCCCUUGACUUUGGGAUAACUUCAGGAAACUGGGGCUAAUACCGGAUAGGAGCUCCUGCUGCAUGGUGGGGGUUGGAAAGUUUCGGCGGUUGGGGAUGGACUCGCGGCUUAUCAGCUUGUUGGUGGGGUAGUGGCUUACCAAGGCUUUGACGGGUAGCCGGCCUGAGAGGGUGACCGGCCACAUUGGGACUGGGAUACGGCCCAGACUCCUACGGGAGGCAGCAGUGGGGAAUAAUGCACAAUGGGCGGAAGCCUGAUGCAGCAACGCCGCGUGCGGGAUGACGGCCUUCGGGUUGUAAACCGCUUUCGCCUGUGACGAAGCGUGAGUGACGGUAAUGGGUAAAGAAGCACCGGCUAACUACGUG